rnacentral:lncRNA from 1 species
AGGGACAAAUUUGGUCCAUUUUUAACAUGAACUUUCAACAACACACUGAUAAAUCCGAUCUUUACUACUGUACAGGCUGAAGCAUCAGACGCCAUAUCAUCAAGUACUACUAAAACCAACAAAUCAUAAUCUUUAAGAUCAAUGGUGUCUAAACUAAGAACAUCAAAGGGCAUACAACACGAUCAAAUCAUAGUUUAAACAUCAUAUGUCAAACACAGGCAUGCAUCAGCAUGUACCAACAACACCUAGGGUGCAACACAAACAUCACUUAAAUUCGGUUUCUGCUUCCCAGCAUAGUUUCAGUUUCGCAACGACGCUGACACACAUGCAUCACUUCAGUUCCAUCGCAUCCCUGAAAGCAGCAAGUCAAUCAGAACAUUAGACAUACCAGUCAAACAAUUCACAACUACAAGAGUACUUCAAAUACUUUCGCAAGAAAGAAAAGGAACAGGGGGGAAAUAUGGCAUGGAGUCUGUUUCUUAUACUUCAUGAUCUGAAACAGAUGGACUCGCUCUCCUUUGUCAAAAAGUAUAACAAAAUUUAUAUGUGAUGUACUUGAGCCAGAUUUAACUUGAUGCAAACAGAGAAAAGCAAGCUCUAUCAUUAGGUCACAUAGAUAUCUCACAUCAAGUACUAGCACUGAAAACUCACGACUAAAAAUUUAUACGUACAGACCAUAUAUACACUGCAGAGAAAGGUUGACAGAAACUCUUUGCAUAUACACUGCAGAUCAUAUAUAUGUACAGAUCAAAACUAAAAAUUUAUAUGCACAAAACAUAUAUACAACUAAAAAAUUUGAUUUAGUAUGAUUGUUCACUACCAAAGUGUAUCUAUUUCUCUAACAAAAACACUACAAUUACUUUCUUGCUGAUUGCCCAACAGUAUGGUUCAGUUUCUUCCUGUUAUUUGCCCUUUAUUCAAAUUAGUAUGCAGACAAAGCAUUCAUUCACAAGAAAAACAUGUUUGUUCCAAGCUAAUCAGGAACAUGAGCUUAUGUAUAUUCUCAGUUCGGAGAUGAGAAAUUGAUUUCUAGCUAAUCAGGAAUAGGAGCUUAAGAACAAGACCAAGCAAGCAAGAACAUUAUGAACCAGAUCAAAAUACCUCUUCUAGGUAGGCAACUCAUCCAUUUCGCUCCGAAGCCACAUGACCGCACUCUCUUCUUGAAGUUUGAUGAACAUGUAAGAUAAGAAAGAGCUCGCUAUUACAUUAUAACAAAGAGCAUCAUAAAUGUUUGUUCUAAGCUAAUCAGGAAUAAGAACUUAAGUAUAUUCUUAGUUCAGACAUGUGCAUGCAUAUGCUCAGUUAGCAACCACAUAAAUAUACUACAACUAGUCAUCUCAGAUGAGAAAUUGAUUUCCAGCUCUUGUCUGCAUGUAUUUUACUCAUCUUAGCAAAUCACACCAGUAACAGUUAACUUCGACCAGUUUUGAAUUUCAUCAACAUCUAACACAAGACAUUGCCUGCUAUAUUUUUAGCACACAGUGUCAAAAUUAAUCAGACUGAUGAUAUACCAAUGAAACUUAUGUGCAGCAAAAUGAUUCUCUCCUCACAUUUCUGCACUACAUCCAAUUAUCAAUAUCUAAUACAAAAUGGUUGGCUGUAUUUUGUUACUUUGUUAUCAGAUAUGUACUAUAUGCUAAUAAUAAUGGGAUUUUUUUUACUAUGGAGUAUAAAAUCAGUACCGGAAGGUAGAGAUCCUACUUGAGCAUCUACAUGUAUAAUUUUAAGGCACACAUAAAUGACAUCAAAAAAGGGUUGGAGUUGUCUUGAAUAGUAGUCCAGAUCUAGCAGCAACUAACUUCAAAUAGGGGGAGGACGAAUGUGAUUGGGAAGCAGGCAGAGGAACAACAGGGAGGGCCUCUCACAGCGGUGGUACUGGAAAGGGGAGAGGAGCGUGGCUAUCAGGGACGGUGUGCUUGGCGAGCUCGCAGGGGAGGACGAGGCGAACGGCGGAUCGGCGGCGGCCAUAUUGAGAAACCCUAGAUGAAGAUGGAGGGGGGGGGGGUGCCUCGAGGGAGAAGGCCAACUUUCCCUAGGAAGAAGAGGAAGCAGGCAUCCGACGGAGUUAGCAGCGACGGCGGCGGCUGCGCGCGGUUCUGGCCGUCUCUUGUGACCGCGGCCGCGUCUCGUCUCUCUUUCGCACGAGGCGUGUGAGCCGCGAGGUACCCCUCGAUGCUAGGAAGCCCCAUGGAUCGGGGAGGAACGGAUGGGAUAUUCGGGGCUGACCCGGUUGGAGCCCAGUGCGCCAAACGGUACUCUUGGGCUUUUAGGGUCUUUUAAGCCCGACGGGGAAAAUCCACUAAAAACCCCUUUGAUCCCGGUGUCCCAAACAAGGCCUCAGCACGAAUGGGUUUUCAAGUCUGAAAGUGCAACUAUCCCUGGGUGGUUUUGGUAAUUCGUAACAACAUAUAGCUCAUUGAGCUAAUGCUAUUUUAAAAUAAAUAUUUCAGGGAAGCUCAAUGAUUGGCAUGGCAUGGAUUAGAAAAUAAACCCCUCAAAAUGCUAAGGACAAAAGAUUGGUUCAAGCUCAAAGCACAAGACUCUACAUUUUAUUUUUAGUGAUCCAAGAUCACAUUAAGUCCAUAGGAAAAGACAACACUAUUAGAAGGGGGUGAGGUGUUGCUUAAUGAGUUACUUACUCGAAAUGCUUAGUGAUAUGCUUCAAAAAUCCUCAAUUACUUUCUCAUAUCCACAUAUGUCCCAAACCAAAAAUCAAACUCGGCCCCACCAAAAUCUUUUAUCCGGCGCCACCGAGCUCACUUGACAUAGCCACUGCCACAAACCCUAGUCACUUCGGUCUCACCGAUAGGGAUUUCGGUCUCACCGAGAUGGGAUUGCAACCUCUCUGUUUCUCUUUGUAACGUUUCGGUCCAACCAAGAUGAGCGAUCGGUCCCACCGAGAUUGCAAUGCAAACUCUCUGUUUCCCCUUCGUAACGUUUUGGUCUAACCGAGACGAGCGAAUCAGUCCCACCGAGUUUGCCUGACCAACUCUCUGUUUGUCUAUUACCAAAAUCGGUCCCACCGAGUUUGUGUAAUCGGUCUCACCAAGAUUACGUUAUGCCCUAACCCUAAUAGAAUCAGUCCCACCGAGUUGACAUGUCGGUCCCACCAAAAACCUUAACGCUCACAUUUUGAACUAAAUCGGUCUGACCGAGUUUUAUAAUUCAGUCCAACCGAGUUUGGUGAUUUGUGUGUAACGGUUAGAUUUUGUGUGGACGCUAUAUAUACCCCUCCACCCACUCUUCAUUCGUGGAGAGAGCCAUCAGAACAUGCCUACACUUCUAACAUACAUUUUCUGAGAGAGAACCAUCUACACUUGUGUUGAGGUCAAGAUAUUCCAUUCCAACCACAUAAAUCUUGAUCUCUAACCUUCCCCAAGUUGCUUUCCACUCAAAUCAUCUUUCUACCAAAUCCAAUCAUAUGAAAGAGAGUUGAGUGUUGGGGAGACUACCAUUUGAAGCACAAUAGUAAGGAGUCCAUCAUCAACACACCAUCUAUUACAUUUUGGAGAGUGGUGUCUCCUAGAUUGGUUAGGUGUCACUUGGGAGCCUCCGUCAAGAUUGUGGAGUUGAACCAAGGAGUUUGUACAGGCAAGGAGAUCGCCUACUUCGUGAAGAUCUACCCUAGUGAGGCAAGUCCUUUGUGGGCGAUGGCCAUGAUGGGAUAGACAAGGUUGCUUUUUCGUGGACCCUUCGUGGGUGGAGCCCUCCGUGGACUCACGCAACUGUUACCCUUCAUGGGUUGAAGUCUCCAUCAACGUGGAUGUACGAUAGCAUCACCUAUCGGAACCACACCAAAAAUCUCCGCGUCUACAUUGCGUUUACUUUCUCCAAACUCCUCCCUUUACCUUUAUAUGCAAUUGUUUUACAUUCCGCUGCUAUACUCUUAGAAUUGCAUGUGUAGAUUGAUUACUUGAAUUGUGCUAAGUUGCUAAAAUCUGCCAAGACUUAAAACUGGAAAAAUUCUAGAUUUUUAUUUGGUCAAGUAGUCUAAUCACCUCUCUCUAGACAUACUUUCGAUCCUACAAAGCCCCAAAGGGGCUGGGGAUUAUUGGGGAUUUGGUGAACCCCUCCCCCGCACCAAAUCCCCUCAAAUCCCCUUCCGCCUCCCAAGCCCCUUCCACAUCUAUCCAUAUAUGAGUGUUUCGCAUGCAGGGACAAAUUUGGUCCAUUUUUAACAUGAACUUCAACAACACACCGAUAAAAAUCCGAUCUUUACUACUGAACAUGCUGAAGCAUCAGUGGCCAUAUCAUCAAGUACUACUAAAACCAACAAAUCAUAAUCUUUAAGAUCAAUGGCAUCUAAACUAAGAACAUCAAAGGCCAUAUAACACGAUCAGAUCAUAGUUUAAACAUCAUAUGUCAAACACAGGCAUGCAUCAGCAUGUACCAACAACACCUAGGGUGCAACACAAAUAUCACUUAAAUUCGGUUUCUGCGUCCCGGCAUAGUUUCAGUUUCGCAACGACGCCGACGCACAUGCAUCACUUCAGUUCCGUCGCAUCCCUGAAAGCAGCAAGUCAAUCAGAACAUUAGACAUACGAGUCAAACAAUUCACAGGUACAAGAGUAAUUCAAAUACUGUAGCGACCCGACCUCAAAUGGUCAAGUCUCUGUGUAUCUGUGCCAUCCCUGGAUGAAAGUACAUGUAGUCCCCAUGUGUGGUUUUGGUAAUUAAAUGACAAUCCUAAUGGACUAAUGUUUGCACUGAGAUAUACAUUUGAAGGAAAGUUCCAUUUGCAAUGCAUGAAGAAUAUUGGAUGAAUUGGUGGAUGAAAUCCAUCAACAUCUAUAUAUGCAUUGAGACUUGUUAAUGAAUGAAAAUUCCUAUGAAGAAACAAUGACAUCAAGUUAUAUAGGAAGGUUUGUUCCAUGGGUGAUGCAAGAAGGAUAUUGAAUGGAUUCGGAAUGAAUGCCAUAUACAUGUAGUUGUGCAUCAAGAUUAAUCAUGGAGCAAAGAUUAAGGUUGACCAAGAUGAAGAUCGAAGAUUGAAUUCAAAGAUGGUCAACACACAAGCACAAAUCAUGUGCCACGUGAGAUCUUGUGGUAUGGUAAGAAUUUGUCAAUUGCGCUUUGUGUACUAACCCAUACUAUGUGUUGCCUAUGUUUUUGAGAGGAGAUUCUCAUGGGCUCGCAUCGAGAGAGAUAUUUCAAGUGUCUAUGAGAGGAUGACAUCAAGUGUUGAUGAUCAUGGUUGACAAGGGCAAGUUCAAGAUAACUAUCCCGAAGGAUUACAUGCUUGAAGCUUGUGGAUGAUCACAUGAUGGACACAUGAAGAUAAAUACAAAGCAAAGCUUCCCACAUUGUGUAUGGGGGAGCUACUUGAAGACUUCACCAAUGUCUUGCCAUUCAACUUUAUCCAAGAAGAAACUUCAACUUCAAGCUCAAGUGAAAGGCUCAAGUCAAAGGUAUUAGUUCCUUCGACGUUAGUGUUGUGGAGUGAUGAACACCGAAGGAACACAUACACUCAAGAAUGGAUUAUUGAUAGCUAUGUAGUGUAGACCUUUUAUGAUUCUUGAAUUAUAGGGAUCCCGCACUAUUAAGAGGGGAUCAAAGGGGUUCGUGAUAGAUUUGCUCAAGUCAACAUCUUCUCUACACAAUUCCACUCAUAUCCUAUAUACCAAAGAAAAUCCAAAGCCAAAUAGGUUACCCAAAUACAUGAUAAAACCUUUGCAUAUUUUGCAUCCUCCAUUUUGGUUCAUCUUGGGUGGUUCUCUAUGUGAGGACCUGGGUUUUUUUCAUAGCUUCAAAACGAGCCCAAGAUCAUCAAAAUCGGAGUCCGGAUGUAAAAGUUGUGCCUGUUUCAGUUUCUAGGCUGCAGCAGUUUGGUUUGGCCGGAUCAUCCGGGUCCUCUCCCAUAUCAUCCGGGCUUUUGCCCGGAUCAUCCGAGUUAUUCGUAAAAUUCAUCACAGAAGCUUAUUCCGCUAGCCGGAUCAUCCGGCUACCCACCCGGAUCAUCCGGGAAUUGCCCGGAUCAUCCGGCUAUGUUCCCGGACAUCCGGGUAUCUACUUCACCACAUUGUAUAUUGACCUUCCCGGAUCAUCCGGGCAUUGCCCGGAUCAUCCGGGUAUGCGUCCAGAUCAUCCGGGCAGGUCAACAACUGCGGGAAACGGCUCUAUUUUCUUUGGGGGUAUAAAUAUCCCUCUCCCACUCCGGGGGAGGGUUGAGCACUUCAUCCCAAAUCGUCCCAAGAACACAAGUGGCUCCCUCUCACUUCUCCUACACCAAAUCUUAGAUCCCGGAGAGAUUAGUGAGUGUUCUUGUGAGUUGUUCCAAUCAAAAGAUAGAUCCUCUCCCUCUCCCUCUUGUGACCAAAGCAAUUCGUGAUUUGAGCAAGUCUUGAGCAUUUCCCCCUUGAUCUUGUUACUCUUGGAGGUUGGAGACUCCUAGGCGGUAGGAGUGCUCCGGUGAGGAAUCAACUUGUGAUUUGUCCCCCGGAAAGUUUGUGAAGGUUUGGAGGCCGCCUCAAGGUCUACCACUAGUGGUUGAGAAUCGCCUUCGUGGUGAUAUCUCAAGGAGAAUAGGGUGAGCCUUCGUGGCGUUGGUGUGCCUUCGUGGUAACAUCCACCUCUCUAACGGUGACUAGCUUCCCUCCAAGGAAGUGAACAUCGGGAUACAUCCUCGUCUCCGUGUCUUCGGUUAAUUCUAACCCUAGCCACUACUUGUGGUUUACUUUGGUCUCUUGACCUUGCAUUCACUAUAUCUUGUUGUCCUCAUUAUAUUGUGUUGGUUACCAUAUCGUAGAGAUUAUCUAGGCCAACACUUUAUAGUCCGCAAUUCAUACUUGCUAUUAUUGUUCUAUCGUGUGCUUAGUGUGAAUUGCUAGCUUGUAACAUUCAUUUCCAUAUCUUGUGACAUAACUUGUGUAAGCCUGUAUUGCUUACUUGUGGUUGUGUGUAUUAUUCAUUUAUAUAUCUUGUGAUAUACAUUGAGUAAGUUUGUGUAACUUACUUGUGCUUACUCAUAUCCUCGUUGUUCUCAUCUUGUUUAUCCUAAGUUGUUGGUGCACUUAGUUAGCCUGGUAUAUUUAGGAUUUGUGCUUGAAAAGUAUCCUCUUAGUUUAUUUUCGCAUUAGGAUAUAGCCAAAUCCGUAUAAGAUUUUAAAACGCCUAUUCACGCCCCCUCUAGGCGACAUCGUGGUCCUUUCAAUUGGUAUCAGAGCUAGGUCUCUCCUUAUUAGGCUUAACCGCCUAGAGAGUAACGAUGUCGACUAGUGAACUAGUGCACGAUGACACAUUUUGUUUUAAUGGCACAAAUUACAUUAUGUGGAGAUUACGCAUGCUUUGUCACUUUCGGGCCAUGGGUCCAAAUGCUUUACGGAUUGUGGUUGUAGGGAAUUCAAAUCUAAAGGAUGGACAAUCUCCAUCACUUGAUGAUAUGCAUCUUGAUUGUGAAGCUUUAAGUUUCAUUCACUAAGCUAUAACCUUCGAGGUGUUCAAGUCAAUCUCGUCUUGUUCGUUGGCUCAUGAUGCUUGGACCAAAAUUGAAGAUAUAUAUGGUGGGUCCAAUCUUCAUGAAGACAAUAUUCUUUUUGGGGAGUUAAUGGAGGAGUUCUCCACAUUUUUAAAUCAUGAAGAGCUCUCUAUUGCUUCCACCUCCGAUUACUUGCAUACCCCAACAUCUUUCACUUCACCAACAUGUGGCAUACCACAAGGUAAUGACAUGGUGAGUGAAGAAAUAUCCUGUAAUGAUGGUGUUAAGCUCAUUUGUGAUGAUAUGCUUGAUCUCCCAUGUUGCCAUGAUAGAAAUAUCGUGAUUCCCUCUAGUUCUAUUUGUGAAACUAACCAUGUAGAGGAAAUCAAGAAAAAUGAGGCAUGCUUGGUUGAUGAAGAACCCUCUUCUCCAAAAGAAUCAUCAUCAACCCCUUGUGUUCACAUGUGCCUCAUGGCAAGAGGUAAUGACGAGGUAUCAUCUUCUCUUAGUGACAAUGAUGAUAGUUGUAAUGAGGAAGAUGAUGAAGUCUUGACUCAAAAUCUCUAUGAGAUUGGGAAAACUCUUCGUAGAGCUAAAAAUAACACUUAUAAAAGGUUCCAAGAUGUUCUUGCUUGCUUUCAAAAACGUAAUGACUUAUUUCUUUACGAGCAAGCAAAAAGUGAACAACUUGAACAUGAACUUGCUAUGGCUCAUCAAUGUCUUAGUGACUUGAGGUCUUUAAAAGAAGAGACUGAAGUUACGCAUUGUAAACUUAAAGAGGAUUUUGAGCCCCUUGACCUUGACUACAAGAAGGUCAAAGGAGAGCUCAUCAAACUCUCUAAGUCUCAUGAGGAACUUCAAGCUACUCAUGCGGAGUCUCUAGCUUCUACAUGCUCCUCUCAUAUUGAUAAUGAUGCUUGUGCUACUAACUCUAUCUUGUGUGAAGCAUCGAUAUUAAAAGAAAAUGUUGACCUAAGGACUCAACUUGAUUUUCUAACUAGCAACUAUGGGAAAUUGGAAGAAAGUUAUGAAAAGCUCUCGGGCACUCAUGAGGAUCUUAUAAUCUCUCAUGAUGGGCUAAAGUUAGCUCAUAAGGCUAUGUGGACCAAGGUAAAAUCGUGUGAGUCUCAUGUGGAUAUUAGCACAUCUUCUACUCGAAGUGCCUUAUUGCCAUGUGCUAGUCCUUGCAAUUCCUCUCUACAUGAUAUUGGUACAUCUUGUGAUGAAUUGCUCACCAUGCCUUGUUGCUCUAACAAUGAAGUUUCUACUUCCUCUAGUUCUUUUGUUAAUACUAACCUUGUAGAGGAAAAUAAAGAGUUCAAGGCCCAAGUCACCAGUUUGAAGAAAGACUUGGAAAAAUAUUGUGAUAAUAUCUUGAGUGUGCAAAAGGACCCUCAAGACAAAAUUGGACUUGAUUUCAUCUCCAACAAGAAGAAGUCCAAGAACAAGAAGAAGGGACGAGAUCAAGUCAAGAAUUCGGCCAACAUUAUUUGCUUCAAGUGCAAGAAUGUUGGACACCAUGUGAGAUCUUGUCCAUUGAAGAAGAAGGCUUCAAGUGUGAAGCAUCAAGGGAAGUGGCCUCAAGUUCAAUAUCAAGAUAAUGAAAGGCCUCUUCCCAUGCCUAACCAAGAUAAUGCUCUCCAAGUUGAAAAGGUAAAGAAUAAGAGAAAGGGGAGCACAUGUUGCUAUAUUUGCCGUAAGAAGGGACACAUAGCUUCAUCUUGUUCCAAUGGUAACAUAUCUAAGCCUCCUAUAGUCAAUAAUCAUUAUUUGCUAAAGAAGGAUAUUGUUGGCAAUGUGUUUGCCAAGUUUGUGGGUUCCCAGAGAAGUUUGAAAGUGGACAAGACCAUUUGGGUUGCCAAGCCUAUUGUUACUAACUUCUUAGGACCCAACUUGGUUGGGGACCAUCAAGCUCAAACUUGAUCAAUAGGUGUGUGGAGGGCAUUGGAGACUUGGCUACUUCAUGAAGAAAAACUAUUUUCACCAUAUGUUAUGGUUAAUGCCAAGUCAAGUGGAUUAUCAUCAUAUCUAUCAAUCCAAUGCUCCUCUUUGCGGUAACUUGUACUUGCAUUGUUUACAUUGAAAGUUACUGUGUCCCUUGCAUGUUUAGGUUUUGUACCUAGCAUGUGUUUUUUUAGUUGUGCUUCCUAGUAUGCUUGAUUUGUGUUAUCUAGCAUGUGUAGGUCACAAUGCAAUUCAUAUAUUUGUGCGUGUGUGGUUUCAAGCCUUUAUUGCUUCAUUAGUUGAAUCUUCCUUGGCUGGAUCAUCACAUUAUGGGGGAGUGCUAUGUUUUACGGAUAUCACAAACCUUAAAGGUGUAUGUAUGUGGGAUACCACCUAGUAUUGUUAGUGCAAUAUUAUCAAGGUACUAUGUGGUAUGUAAAGCUCAUUUGAAACUCAAAUUCUCAUCCAUUAAUUAUCCUUAGUUGGGUUUCAUUUGCUUCUUGUGGAUAAUACAUGGAUCAUCAUAUUAUGGGGGAGUGAUAUGCUUUGUGCAUAUCACAAUCCUCGUUAAUAUGAACAAUUGAGGGAUGCCACCUAGAAUUUAUAUUUGAGAUUAUCUUAUAUCUUCGUGGCAUGCAAUGUCUUGUUUACGUAUGGCAUUCUUGUGCGGUUUUGCCCAUGGUUAUCUUUAAAACCAUAUUUGGAAAAUCAUUUGAUUAAAGCUAUUCCAAUUAUUGCUUUUCAUGAUUAUCUAUCUAGUCGGAAUGUUAAUAUUAUGCUAUCCAAGCAUUGUGGUUAUUCCUAAACUCUCAUGUUAUGCUUGUGUUAGUAUAGAUAAUCAUGUACUUAUUUGGUUUCUACACCCAAUGAUAACCCGAAAUACCAUUUUGUUCGAAUUCAUCUUAUUGCUCUAUAUGAGAGUUUGUUAUCUCAUUGUUUAUAGUGUCCUAUAUCUACUUGAGUGGGAUAUUCCUAUGAGUAUGUGUGCAAUGCAUAUCUUAUAUGCUCAUUGUUUUUUUUCUUGGUUCAUAUGUUGAACUUUGUGUGCUAUCAUAUGUUGAUUUGUCACUUUGAUUCAUUUUGGACAACAUGAAUGACUAGUGUUGUUAUUGGAAGUAUUAACAGUUAUGUGGUCAUUUGUCCAAUUUAUAUCUCCUUGGAUUUUGGUAGGCUUAUGCAUGCAUAUUUACUAUGUGUAAAUUCACAUGCCUUGUUUGCCUUAUUUGAUCCAAUAUAUAUAUGGUAAAUCCAUCAAAUUCUUAAUAGCUAUGAUGUGCAUGAAAUUCAAAUUCAUAUCAAUAGGCACAUAUUUAAGUGGUUUUACCCUAUGUGUUGUAGUUAUGCUAACUACGUCGGACCCAAUAAGUUUGGGGACCAUAUUGUACUUAAAAUGUUUUAGGUACAUUUGAGAAGCAUUGGGUGCUUGGCUUAUUCAUGAAGGUGGUGGCACUAUGAGAAAUUAGAGCCAAGCUUGGACAUUUUAUUUGAUCUACAACUUCAUACCAAUGCUAUCUCGGUAACAAGUAUUUACUUCAUGCAUAUAUAUAGAAAUGGGGUUAACCUUGUGUAGGUUCCAUCAUGGCAUGAAUUUCUUGACUCGUUCCUGUGAUACUUGUUUCCUUUCUCAAAGCAUCCCAACAAUGAUCUCUUGUUGCUAGUUGUGAUGUCUUUGAUGGUUGUGUGUUUGGAGUUCAUUAAUAUACAAUAAGAUUAUAUUAAGCCAUGUGCCAUGCUUUCAAGCAAAGAUCUCAUUGGUAUAUUUUAUGACUCCCAUUUUGAUAUCUUAUUCCUUCCUUUUGUAACUAUUUUAUGUGUACAUCCUUCUUUGUGGAUAUCAUCUACCUAGUAUCUUAUACACGUGAGAGAAGUUACAUCUCUAGUUGAUAUCCCUAUUCUUUCAUGUCCACCAUUUCAUUCACUUUUUAUAUCUUUUUGGUGGCUCCAUGGAAGCAUUUGUUGAAUGAGUGCAUGUCUUACCUCUUUCCAUCUUAGUGCACUCAUGUUUGGUGAAGAUUGUUGUUCUCAUGCUUGUCUUGACAAGCCUAUUAUUUCCUAUCUUCAUCAUGGGUUGUCACAAGCUUUGAUUUUUAGUUUGCUAUUAGUGAGCUUGUGAACCCAUUUUCUUGAUGUGUGUGUGACCUUCUUAACUUCAUGUGUGUGGGAAGGACAUGUCUUGCACCUUGUAUCUCAUUUACUCAAGGCUAUGUUGAUGCUUAAUUCUCAUCCUUAUACUAGUCUUCUCAAGUGCUUUGACGUGUCUCACACACAUCAUUUUGGUUGUGCCUAUUCUUAGGUUGCCUCAUGUACAUGUUGCUCAACCAUAUGUUUGUUGCAAAUGCUAGGCUUCUUUUCUUAUCUAUGUUUGCUUGCAAUUGUUGUGUGUUCCUAUUGAUUUUGGGGGAGUGAUGAUCCUAUUUUGUGCACUUGUAUCCAAAUAAAAAAAAUUCAAUUGUGCACAAAUCAUGGGGAGCUUCUCUAUUUUCCUUAGAACACUCCUUUACCCAAAUCGUAAUAUUCUUUUAUUCUUUUGGCUCAUCGGAUCUUUUGAUUGCUUGCUUCACUUUGUGUUAUGCAAAUGAGAUCAAUUUGUGCCAUGUGUUUUGUGCCAUGUGCCUUGCUAUUAUGACUAUGCUCAAGUUGUAUAAUAGUGGAUUCACUUGUGGAUAUCAUGUUCUUAUCAAUUGCAACCUUUCUUUUUGUGUAUACGAGUUUCUUUGUGGAUACAUAUCAUGAUUAUUAUAGGCCACUUAGAAAUUUUUAUACAUGAAAAAGUUCAUAUCUUCGUAUCUGGUUGCAUUCUAUAGAUUUCGAGCUCCUUUAAUUGUUCAUCAUUGAAUAUGUGCAUUUGUUUUCACUCACAUUUUGUUAUAUGCACACAUCAAGGAGGAACUCAUACUAUAUUGGUCUGCUAGAUGUUUUGUCUUCCAUUUUGGCAUUUGUUGCCAAUGGGGGAGAAGUUUAGAGGGUUUAAGAUAAAUAUCUUUUCUAGUUCUUGUUGUCACUCAUGCAUAUCUACCCUUGUUAUAUAUUCUUAUUGCAUGGAUGAGUCUUGUAUAUAGAGAAAUCUUCUCCUAGUUUAUGUCAACCAAUAUAUGCAAUGACAUUCAAAGUUCAUUCACAAAUUCAUAUAUUAUGGGGGAGUUUGCUCUAUACACUAUGGGUGUACUAUCAUCAAAUGCUUGUGUAGUGUAUUGAUGAUAGUACAACCAUCCCAAGUAUACAAUUUAUCCUUGGAUAAAUUUCAUGCUUGUUUAAAAAUUCAUUAUAUAAACCCUCUUGUUGAGAUUGUCAUCAAUUACCAAAAUGGGGGAGAUUGAAAGUACAUGUAGUCCCCAUGUGUGGUUUUGGUAAUUAAAUGACAAUCCUAAUGGACUAAUGUUUGCACUGAGAUAUACAUUUGAAGGAAAGUUCCAUUUGCAAUGCAUGAAGAAUAUUGGAUGAAUUGGUGGAUGAAAUCCAUCAACAUCUAUAUAUGCAUUGAGACUUGUUAAUGAAUGACAAUUCCUAUGAAGAAACAAUGACAUCAAGUUAUAUAGGAAGGUUUGUUCCAUGGGUGAUGCAAGAAGGAUAUUGAAUGGAUUCGGAAUGAAUGCCAUAUACAUGUAGUUGUGCAUCAAGAUUAAUCAUGGAGAAAAGAUUAAGGUUGACCAAGAUGAAGAUCGAAGAUUGAAUUAAAAGAUGGUCAACACACAAGCGCAAAUCAUGUGCCAUGUGAGAUCUUGUGGUAUGGUAAGAAUUUGUCAAUUGCGCUUUGUGUACUAACCCAUACUAUGUGUUGCCUAUGUUUUUGAGAGGAGAUUCUCAUGGGCUCGCAUCGAGAGAUAUAUUUCAAGUGUCUAUGAGAGGAUGACAUCAAGUGUUGAUGAUCAUGGUUGACAAGGGCAAGUUCAAGAUAACUAUCCCGAAGGAUUACAUGCUUGAAGCUUGUGGAUGAUCACAUGAUGGACACAUGAAGAUAAAUACAAAGCAAAGCUUCCCACAUUGUGUAUGGGGGAGCUACUUGAAGACUUCACCAAUGUCUUGCCAUUCAACUUGAUCCAAGAAGAAACUUCAACUUCAAGCUCAAGUGAAAGGCUCAAGUCAAAGGUAUUAGUUCCUUCGACGUUAGUGUUGUGGAGUGAUGAACACCGAAGGAACACAUACACUCAAGAAUGGAUUAUUGAUAGCUAUGUAGUGUAGACCUUUUAUGAUUCUUGAAUUAUAGGGAUCCCACACUAUUAAGAGGGGAUCAAAGGGGUUCGUGAUAGAUUUGCUCAAGUCAACAUCUUCUCUACACAAUUCCACUCAUAUCCUAUAUACCAAAGAAAAUCCAAAGCCAAAUAGGUUACCCAAAUACAUGAUAAAACCUUUGCAUAUUUUGCAUCCUCCAUUUUGGUUCAUCUUGAGUGGUUCUCUAUGUGAGGACCUAGGUUUUUUUCAUAGCUUCAAAACGAGCCCAAGAUCAUCAAAAUCGGAGUCCGGAUGUAAAAGUUGUGCCUGUUUCAGUUUCUAGGCUGCAGCAGUUUGGUUUGGCCGGAUCAUCCGGGUCCUCUCCCAUAUCAUCUGGGCUUUGCCCGGAUCAUCCGGGUUUCUGCCCGGAUCAUCCGAGUUAUUCGUAAAAUUCAUCACAGAAGCUUAUUCCGCUAGCCGGAUCAUCCGGCUACCCACCCGGAUCAUCCGGGAAUUGCCCGGAUCAUCCGGCUAUGUUCCCGGACAUCCGGGUAUCUACUUCACCACAUUGUAUAUUGACCUUCCUGGAUCAUCCGGGCAUUGCCCGGAUCAUCCGGGUAUGCGUCCAGAUCAUCCGGGCAGGUCAACAACUGCGGGAAACGGCUCUAUUUUCUUUGGGGGUAUAAAUAUCCCUCUCCCACUCCGGGGGAGGGUUGAGCACUUCAUCGCAAAUCGUCCCAAGAACACAAGUGGCUCCCUCUCACUUCUCCUACACCAAAUCUUAGAUCCCGGAGAGAUUAGUGAGUGUUCUUGUGAGUUGUUCCAAUCAAAAGAUAGAUCCUCUCCCUCUCCCUCUUGUGACCAAAGCAAUUCGUGAUUUGAGCAAGUCUUGAGCAUUUCCCCCUUGAUCUUGUUACUCUUGGAGGUUGGAGACUCCUAGGCGGUAGGAGUGCUCCGGUGAGGAAUCAACUUGUGAUUUGUCCCCCGGAAAGUUUGUGAAGGUUUGGAGGCCGCCUCAAGGUCUACCACUAGUGGUUGAGAAUCGCCUUCGUGGUGAUAUCUCAAGGAGAAUAGGGUGAGCCUUCGUGGCGUUGGUGUGCCUUCGUGGUAACAUCCACCUCUCUAACGGUGACUAGCUUCCCUCCAAGGAAGUGAACAUUGGGAUACAUCCUCGUCUCCGUGUCUUCGGUUAAUUCUAACCCUAGCCACUACUUGUGGUUUACUUUGGUCUCUUGACCUUGCAUUCACUAUAUCUUGUUGUCCUCAUUAUAUUGUGUUGGUUACCAUAUCGUAGAGAUUAUCUAGGCCAACACUUUAUAGUCCGCAAUUCAUACUUGCUACUAUUGUUCUAUCGUGUGCUUAGUGUGAAUUGCUAGCUUGUAACAUUCAUUUCCAUAUCUUGUGACAUAACUUGUGUAAGCCUGUAUUGCUUACUUGUGGUUGUGUGUAUUAUUCAUUUAUAUAUCUUGUGAUAUACAUUGAGUAAGUUUGUGUAACUUACUUGUGCUUACUCAUAUCCUCGUUGUUCUCAUCUUGUUUAUCCUAAGUUGUUGGUGCACUUAGUUAGCCUGGUAUAUUUAGGAUUUGUGCUUGAAAAGUAUCCUCUUAGUUUAUUUCCGCAUUAGGAUAUAGCCAAAUCCGUAUAAGAUUUUAAAACGCCUAUUCACCCCCCCUCUAGGCGACAUCGUGGUCCUUUCACUGGAUCGGUAUGCUGGCACACACAGUACAUCAAUGUAUAUAUCAAAGUGCAAUCACAUGUAUAAAUAACGUAAAACUGAUAUAUACCUCAUAAGUCUCAGCGAAAACAAUCAAACGGUUGUGGAGUCCCAUCAACGCCAAUGGCAAGUUGAGUGUAGACCGUAACCCUACAACGUAACUCUUACUUGUCGUAAAAAUUCUUGCAACAUAAGGCGUUACAGCCCUGUAGGUCAGUACAUUGAAUGUACUGGAAAGUCACAUCAUAAGAAUAAUGAACCUAUUUGUACAUGCAAUUUGGCUGGUGGAAAGCUCUAAGUUUAGUUUUUGCAUAAAGCUAGUUUUUUGCGUGAAGAAAACAUAUUAUUCUACCACUAUAGUAUAACAUAGGAUGAUUUGGCAAACCCAACUCAAUCCAUUCCCAAAGUUUUUUUAAAACCCAACUGUUUAAAUUAAGAGUGAUGAGAUCUCCCAUCAUUUUCACUGCUAGAUGCUCAAGUUGUCUGUAACCGGGGACACAGCUAAUCGAUUAGGUUUUAACAGUCUGAAGAGGUUUGUGCACUUUUCCCCACAAGACUCGAUCGCCUCCCUUGAAGUUCUCGCACUGCCUGGCGUUUGAGAACAGGAUGACCGAGGCAUAGUCUUUCGAAAGUAUUUCCUCUUAACCCACGGGUAGACCGGUACACCUGCUCAUUCUACAUCUGCUAGCCUAUGUCGGAAGAGAUCACACUAACAAUGUUUGAUCCCUUUGAGCCUAGGCGGACGGACCACUAGUGGUGCACCACCAUGGAUUUUCUGUCGGCGUUCUGGGAACGAGGGUCCCCAGACUUGCCUGCCUGCGGCCUGCGGCGUGGCUCAAAGGGGGCCCCAGCACGACCCGUCUUCACCAACACAAACUCAAGACCCUCGCGAGGGGCCAAGCCUCGCGGGGCGGACGACGCGGAGCUUCCUCAGGCACGGCUUCAUCAGGCUGGCUCACAAGGAGGCGGAGAGAUCAAGGCGGGGUACCUCACGAGCUGCCCGUGACACAAGCCAUGACGACUCAGGGCGCCAGGCGGGUGCCAGCCCGCGCAGCGUCCUCCUUCCCUCUUUGGUGCAAAGGGGGCAAGCGCAGCCGCGGAGUACCGAGGCAUCAGGCAAAGGUUGCCAUUUCGGUGCAACGAGACCAAGACCAGGAGGACUACGAGAUGGAGGUCACCGUGGAGCCCAAGACGGCGUCAUCACCAGAGCUUUGCACAGGCAAAGACUACUUUUGUCAGGAUAGUUGAUACUUGCUGUCCCCCUUCAAAUUAGCCCGCCAUUGUUGGCUCCCUUCCCGCUCAAUAUUUGGGGAGAGGACCGGGGCCUCUAUAAAUAGGACUAGCCACCCCCAGGGUAGAGAGGAUCGAGAAUCAGCCAACCCGGAAACAAGCUGGGGUCGAAAUCAGGGUCAGUCAGUUGGAGGAAAGCAGAGAGAGAGGGAGAGAAAAAGGUGACUGAACUCCACCGAGCAGUUCAUCGCCCCAGCCAAGAACGGACCCUCGCGAGGCUGUUCUCCCUUGUAUUGUUCAUCAUCAUCAGCCCAAGAGGCAAUCCACCACACCACACACUGGAGUAGGGUAUUACACCACAACGGUGGCCCGAACCAGUAUAAACCCUGUGUCUCUUGUGUUGUUCUUUCCUGAGUUUAGAUCCUAGCAUGGCGGAGGGGUGCAAGUAGGUAGGGGGCGAAAUCUCUGCGUGCACCCCAGUGUUUGAACCUCAAGGGUCUGCCGGAACCCGAAAUCCGACAUUUGGCGCGUCAGAUAGGGGUGCACCGGAAUUCGUCUUCCACCGCUCCGUGCCCCGUCGCGUCGUCAUCACCAUGCCCGGCGACCAGGAGGGCAACCCAGACCCAUGGGCGGCAUGGCCCGCCCGUGCAGAGCCGCUCGCCUCAGGCGACCCCGUGUCCCAGGGAGCUCGCGGUCCACAGGGCGCUGCGGGCCGCGAGCGACGUGGACAGGCUUCGACAACUCUCACACGGCAGGCGCGGUCGGCAGCAAGGGCCUCCAAUCACGCCGCGACCACGACACCGUACGCCCGCCGGGAGCAAGCGAACUCGAGGGCCGCGCUCACGAUGGCCCGAGAGCUGCUGCAGUGCAGACUGCUGGAGGGCGGCCGCGACAUGCUGCUGGAGCGGGUGGCAGAGCUCUUGGGCUUCGCCGCCUCGGUGGCUCACCCCUUCUGCAUCGAGCUCCCAUCUCCAACCCAGGGCGGCCCGCGCGGGGGCCCCCCGCGCACCCUCGGGCUCCAAGGCUACUCCAACACUGGCGAGGCUGUCAGCACCGGACCGGCGGCGGCGCAGCCCCCGCUCCUGGUCCGCGAAGAAGAAGGGCUCGAUGCAACCCGCGGCCCCAGUGGACAGCCGCACUGCCACCCCACGGUAGGCGCGUCAGGCAGGACCACGUGGCGCGCAGAGCACUACGGCGUGGUCAUUAGGGUGGCGGCGCCGGAGGAAUACGUGCCCCUCAUGAUCGACCAAGGACACUCACACGAGGGCGAACCAGGCUCGCUCCUCAGCCCAAGCCGGGGGGACGAGGCGCCAGAAGCUGAGCCCUUCCAGGAGUCUCGGGACGGUCCCACUGGGCACGCUGGAAGCAACGAUUAUCGGGUACCGCUAAUUCUUCAGCAGGCAUACGCUAACCAUGGAUCGCAAGAGGUGCAGGUUGCCACAGCGGGCAGCUGCUCCGCUCCCACAGCCUCCUACCCCUCAGGAGGAGGGCUCAGGGGGCUGGGCAGGGAUUCGACAUCACCACCGCGGCGUUUGGAGCAAGGUGUUCUCAGGAGGUAGGCCCUCCGCUGGGGAGGUGUCCCAGGGCCUGCCCCCGGCGGAGGACCCGUGGUCGUCGGGGGAACCGCUGGCGACCGCUCUGCCCCAUCGGCGGCGUCCUGGUUUCCGGUCGUCGUUGAUGGCACUAGAGUGUGGCACAAGGCGGGGCCCUCAUCUGGCGAUAUGAAGCAAGGCCAGUACCUGUGAAGAAGGCCCAGUGCCUGUGAAGCUCGCCGCCCCGUGACACUCUCACAUAAUAAUGAGUGGGGCUGUACACGCCCCGGAGUCUCAGGGGUGCCGGCCUCAGGCCCUGGGGCUCCCUCCCACGUCCAGUGGCAGCACUUAGCUCCGCGCUGGUGAGAAGACGUCCAAGACUAGAUUAGGUGCCGGACGCGGCCUUUUGUUUGCUUUCGUUGCUCUUCCCCUUGGUUGUCGCUUUCCCCCGCUGGAUUCAAGUUGGAUUCGAAUUUGAGAUUUGCGUGUUUUCGGGGAGGGGUGCUUAGUCUCGUUCGAGCGAUUUCUCGCGUUUUGGUUACCACUCCGCCUCCCCUCGCGAGCCCCUCGUGAGCCCCUCGCGAGCCGGGUCAGGCCUAGCUUGCGCGCAGCCCAGACUGCCGCCGCCGCAUCCUUUCAGGAGGGUGUUUUACUGCAGAUCCUAUGGAUUCAAUCAGGGGACAUUGAGGACACCACAACCCCCCGCGGGCUGCCUCAGGGCCAGCGCGGAACAAAGGUAUACUAGCCGACCAGCGCGUCGCUUAAGCCAGCCACUUGGCGUGGGCACAUGGGCGAUGUAGCUUCUACUGAUACGAUAAACACAAGUUUUACAUGAGCCCCCCCCCUCCAAAAUGCUCUCACAGUCAUCAGGCCAAAACCUGAGUUCUAUUCAUGCAGGUUAAGGAAGCAGGAACGAUGUACAGUCAGUCGGACGAAUCCCCCAAUGCGUCCUCAGGAGCACCACCUGAGCCGUUGCUGGCGUCGCUGAACUCGCCAUCGCUGUCCGUGUCGCCGCCAGCGGCGUCAGGGCCGCCCAUCGCGCCGCCCUCGUCGGCCGCCACGAUCGCAUCAUCGUUGUCUGAGGUGAAGGCCCUGAUAAGAGCAUCCACAUUGUCCUCCACCCAGUGCGCUAGGUCGCCUCGGACAGCCUGGGGGACUGGGGCGAUGGCGGCAUCAAAAUCAAAAUGGGGAUCCAUGUUCCGGAGGUGACUGAAGACGCGGGAAAAGGCGCGUCUGAGCAGGGCGCGGCUCCUCUCCUCCACCAACCUAUCAGCCCUGGUCGACCGCGCCUCCAGCUGCGUCACCACAUCAGCGAAGAACUGGAGAUUGCCCGCGUAGUUGACUGCGUGUGGCUCACCGACGACCUCCUCGCAGAUGUUGCCCAAGGCCGCGUUGGCUCUCUCCCGGAGAGUGGUGAGCAUGGGGCUGUGCUCAUGCUCCAAGAUCCGCCGCUGACGUAUCUCCUCCGCAUUCUGACACGCGACGGCCUCAGCCUCCUCCACCCGCUGGCAAAGACGGAGCACCUCAGCCCGGGAGGUGGUUAACUCACCUCGCGCCACCUCAAGGGCGGCCCGGGAAGCAUCGGCCCGCCGCGCCGCCUCCUCCAGCUUGGCCCUCAAGGCGGCAGUCCUGCCUUCAGCUUCGGCCUGGAUCAACCCCAGCUUCUCUUCGAACUCGUGCUCGAGGUUCAAAUGCGCCAUCGCCACUCGAUGUCCGACCUCCUCCAGGACGCGGGCUUGCUGUGCAGCAACAUUAUCCUCCGCCUGCAUCACCAAGCGCUCCCUCGUCUCCAGACGCUCGUACUCGUGGGUACGUUCGGCGGCUUCCAGUGUCAGCGCCUCCUCACGCUUCUGGAGCUUUGCCGAGUCGCCAGAGGCCACCUUCAUCGAUGCGAGGGCUGCCUCGCGCAGCUCCACCUGCUCCUCCAGCGAGUGGCACCAGGCCAAAAGCUCCCGAGCCCGCUCCUCCGCAGCCGUUUGCCGCCGGUCAGCUUCCCGAGCCUCCUCAGCGGCCUGAGACCGGGCCUCCCGAGAGGCCACAAACGACGCCUUGGCCUCUGCUUCAUCAAGAUCACGCUGACGGCGCGCAAGGGCGAUGGCGCCCUCUAGCUCGCGCCUCUCUGUAGCCAGGCGCAGGCCCUCAGCCUCAAGGCACGCGUCCUCAUCAGCAAGCUCCUCACCAAGCAGGCUCACUGCGUCAGCCGCCCUUCGAAGGAAUCCUUGGCGGAGAGUGCGACGCUCCCGAGCGCGCUCGAGCACGUCUUCCACACCAUCAUCCGCCCCAAGAAAGCGUUGGGGGCCGCGAGUCAGCACUCCCCCUCCGGGCUGGGGGCUGGGGGCUGGCACCCUCGCGACGGCCGGGCACGCCGCGUUAGCAACCCGGCCUAGGGCCAGCCCGUCCUCAGGAGAAGAGCGCAGGAAGCGCCUCAUCCAAUCGCAGUUCACGACCAGGCGAGAGGCCCAUGGCAGGCUGGCUAUGCCAUGAGAAGGCCCGCGAAGGAGGAUCGCGAGGUGCGCGGGGCCACGGUGCACCUCGGGAUGGUUCGCCUCUUCCAUCGCCCUCACCACAAGGGCUCCGCUGCUCGGAGCGCUCGAGGAUGGUGGAGGGGGCGAAGCCAAGGGGGACGGCUCCUCAGCCGUCUCCGCAAGCUCGGCUGGAAGGGGCCUGCAAAGCAAGGGUCAGUACAAGUAACAGAAGGAUCGGGAGCCGGGAAAGGAGAAGGCUUACUCAUCAGUGGCGAAGUACUUCCUACGCUUCAGCAGGCGACAAGGGUAAUCGUCGCCCAGGGCCUCCCUUCUCUUCCGGAGAGCCUCGAAGUUCACGCAGAAACGGCCCAAGAGUUGGGCACAUGGAUCAACCUUCGACGAAGACGGAGCGUCAAGGUGAUCUGCGGCAGAGGCGCCUGCCUGAUGUACGCUGCCAAUCGCCUCCCCAAGAGACGCAGCUGGAGCCUCAGGGGCCCCAGUCGCAGGCACUGAGGGCAGCUGCUCGCCACCCUCAGCCUCAGCGGCACGGGCCCCAAGAGUUGCUUCCUCAUGAGCCUCGCCCGACGCUGUCACCGCGCCGGGAGCCCCCUCGGCCUCUGGCGCCUCGUGCCUCCCUGCUCUGCCACUCGAGGAUGAGUCGCCUUGGCCGACUCGAAGGGCAGUCACCACCACUAGGUUCUCGCGAGGCCCCUGAAGGCCGGCGGAGCGUGGCCCCCACUCAUCAAAGACAGGCAUCUGCUUCACAAAGUCGCCCCUUCUCUGGCAGAGGUACAACAAGGCCCCUCCCUGCCGGACGCUGUCGGGGUUGGGGUCCCCAGCCAGGGUCAAGAGCGCCGUCCUCAGCACCUCGGGAGUCAGGUCCUCUUCCUAGAGCCUCAUACGAUCCUCGCGCCCAUGGAAGGCCCACAUCCGGCGAGAGUGGCGUUGAAGAGGAGAACGCGACAUAGCAGGAACUCCUUCACCACCUUGGGCGCUGUCACGCCAAGCGACCUUAAGAGCACGAAGCGGCGCCAGACAAAGACAAGCCGGGGGCUCUCAAGCGUCUCCUGGCUCCAGCCCGAAUUGGGGAUGGCAGGUGAGGUCGGCUCCAAUAGCAGGGGGCUGGGCACCCCUGCGUCCACAUACAGCCACCGCUCGCGGAACCCAACCGCGGGCAGGGGGAGCUUGAAGUCAAUCCCAGAGGCCGCCGUCUCAGGCGCGGCAACGAAGCUCACGCAAGCCCAGCAUUGGGUAGGGUCGGCAAGAUGCAACGAGAAGAAGUGGCGCAGCAAGGCAACCGAAGGAGGGAUGCCCACCAUAGCUUCGCAAACAAAGGCGCAAACCGAAAAGAGGGUGAUGGAUUCAGGACCCAGAUGCAUCAUGUGGAUCUAAUAGUGGGAAAGCACGGCGUUGAAGAAAUCGGAAAAGGGGGGAACCAGACCCGCCCACAGGGCGUCGGCAAGAUACGGGACCUCGGUGGCUGUCCUGUCGAUGGAGAAGUGGGACGCGGGCCAGGCCGUCGUCCUCCCGCAUUCAUUGAAGAUGGUGGCCAGAGCCAAGCUGACCUUGCCCAAGCCCUCGGCGGGGGCCGCCGACGGCGGCGGGCAAGGCGGAGACACGGGUUUCUUCCCUCUCCCCUUCUUCGUCGGAGCCAUGGCGAUGGGAAGGGGGGGAGGGAGGUUCGAGAUUGAGUUGAAAACAGAAACCGGAGUUCGAGCGGAGGAAGGACAGAGGGCGCCCGAGCGAUAAAGGGGAACGACUGUGUAUGACUACGGGUCCGCCUAGCACGACGCAAGAUAAGGAGGGCGUGGGGGAACAGUGCCGCCCACGUCCAAUCAACCGCCACGCAGUGCCCAAGGCCGCAGGCUGUUAGGGCCCGCGGCGCUUCGCUCUUGCCCUUCCGCCUCCCCGCACGGCCAAGCCCGGGCGCGCCUUGGGCCCGGGGGCUACUGUCGGUGUUCUGGGAACGGGGGUCCCCAGACUUGCCUGCCUGCGGCCUGCGGCAUGGCUCAAAGGGGGGCCCAACACGGCCCGUCUUCACCAACACAAACCCAAGACCCUCGCGAGGGGCCAAGCCUCGCGGGGCGGACGACGCGGAGCUUCCUUAGGCACGGCCUCGUCAGGCUGGCUCACGAGGAGGCGGAGAGAUCAAGGCGGGGUACCUCACGAGGUGCCCGUGACGCAAGCCAUGACGACUCAGGGCGCCAGGCGGGUGCCAGCCCGCGCAGCGUCCUCCUUCCCUCUUUGGUGCAAAGGGGGCAAGCGCAGCCGUGGAGUACCGAGGCAUCAGGCAAAGGUUGCCAUUUCGGUGCAACGAGACCAAGACCAGGAGGACUACAAGAUGGAGGUCACAGUGGAGCCCAAGACGGCGUCAUCACCAGAGCUUUGCACAGGCGAAGACUGCUUUUGUCAGGAUAGCUGAUACUUGAUGUCCCCCUUCAAAUUAGCCCGCCAUUGUUGGCUCCCUUCCCGCUCAAUAUUUGGGGAGAGGACCAGGGCCUCUAUAAAUAGGACUAGCCACCCCCAGGGUAGAGAGGAUCGAGAAUCAGCCAACCCAGAAACAAGCUAGGGUCGAAAUCAGGGUCGGUCAGUUGGAGGAAAGCAGAGAGAGAGAGAGAAAAAGGUGACUGAACUCCACCGAGCAGUUCAUCGCCCCAGCCAAGAACAGACCCUCGCGAGGCUGUUCUCCCUUGUAUUGUUCAUCAUCAUCAGCCCAAGAGGCAAUCCACCACACCACACACUAGAGUAGGGUAUUACACCACAACAGUGGCCCGAACUAGUAUAAACCCUGUGUCUCUUGUGUUGUUCUUUCCUGAGUUUAGAUCCUAGCAUGGCGGAGGGGUGCAGGUAGGUAGGGGGCGAAAUCUCCGCGCGCACCCCAGUGUUCGAACCUCAAGGGUCUGCCGGAACCCAAAAUCCGACAUUUCCCAUGCAUACUUUGCCACCAUUCAAACCAAUUUCGCCCAAGUAGUUCAUUUAAGUCUUGGUCCCGAUUACUACUUUGUCACUCAAGUCUCACCAUGAACACUUCCCAAUCCAUGUCUAAAUUUGCGAGGCAGAAAUAAACUUACACGGUGGUGACAAGGUUGUAUGGUGCAGACCUACCUCAAAUGAACUACUAGGUAAAUGCAUAGCCAUCCGACAUAAGAUUCCUACCAUGCAAUCCUACCACAAAGGACUAAGUGCAUAUAAAAACAUAGGCAAUUAAAAGUAUGGUCAAAUGUGAACUUCCUGGUAAUAGUUGAUGAAGAUUAUAUCGCUCUUAGAAAUUUACUUAAUAGAACUAUUCGUCACUCUCCGAUGAAAAUCUAUGAAGUCAAACAUUGCAUUCACAUAAGCAAUCAUUUCGGAGAACCAAAUAACAUGCAACAUGAAAAGACUCGAAAAAUCCAAAUGAACACACAACACACUUAACUAUUAAAAAAAUACUAAGUGCAAAAGCAACGUGUGAAAUACGGUUCAAAAUUGUGAUGUGAACUAUAGUGCAUACAAGGCAUAUAAGUGAAACUAUCAUGGAAAAAUCCCAGUGUGUGAAAAGUGCCAUGAGAUUGGUCCAAGUGAUAGGGUUUGGCUACACUGACACGAUGCAAAAAGAAUCAACUCAAACUGAGCUACGGUUUAGGAGAUAUGGCCAUUUGAAGUUUGAAUUUAAAUCUAAAUAAUUUCAAGUUUGAAUCUGACAAAAGUUUACAAAAAUGAAGCCACUGGAUAGAUCUAAACAUGACGAAGACUUUGCCACUGGUUUCAUCUAAUUUGGACUUGCGGUUAAAGAGUUAUGACUAUUCUAAGUUCGGGGGCUAAUCUAUGAUAAAAGUUACUGCAUCUAGGUCCCUGGCCACGUGGCGGUCCGUGGCUGGCUGAAAAAUGUUCGCUGCUUGGCUUAUAGGGUGAACGCUUGGCAAUUAACGUAAACAGUACACGACAGUUAAUAAAAUAAACUAGGGAUCGGUUUAACUAAAACCGCACGGUUUAAUUAAAACCGCGGUUAACCUCACCGGUUCAAAUGAAAAAAAACUAAUCUAAUUUGAACAAGGGAAGGGACGGCUCAUAGAGGGCAACGGCGGCGACGGCGGUGGCGGCGGGGCGGCGGCUCCGACGGGUUCCAGCCGCGGGGAAGGAGGCGGCGGGGUCCGGCGUGUCGAGGGCGACCGGGUGGUGGUAGCGCGGGGUGUCGGGUUGGCCAGAACGGAGCAAGGCGAUGGCGGCGGAGCUCCGUUGCUCUGGUGAGCUUGGGUGUCAUCGUGCGGUCGACUGCGGCGGUCCUCGGCGGUGGGUAAGUGGACGAGACGGUGCGGCUAGACGAGGCGUCCCUAAUGGUGGUGGUGGAGGUCGUCGUCGGCGUCUGGACGGAGCGGAGCGAAGGCGGCGGCGCUCUGGUGUACUGCGCGAACUCCGGCGAGAUGCAUACGACGAUGGAGACGGCUAGAGGCGUCGAGAGGGUGAGAGGGACAGCCAAGUGAGAAGAGGGGUUCCUGGCCUUUAUAUAGGCGCUGCUAGGGGCUCGGGGAGCAGCGGAUAAGCUCUAUCCUGAGCUGGGCGCGGCGGUGGUUGCGGGAGCGCGGAGUAGUACUCAUUCGAGCGGGGCGAGCGGGAGGUUGGAGAUGAGCUGGGGAGCGGUCCCCACCUGGCAGCGGGACAGAGGGAGAGGAAGAGGGCAGCGGGCGACCGGUGUCGAGGGAAAUCGGGCGCGGGAGCUGCGGCGUGAGCCGAAAGGCCGGCUGGGCCGUGCGUCGCGCUCCUGGGCCGAACUCUGUUUCGGUCUAGGCGGUGUUGUUUUUCUAGAAAACAUUUUGAGGACAAAACAACUCCAAACAAAUUUAUAAAAAAUACCAUAUUGAUUUAUAAAGUCACUAAUAAUAGAUAACAUAGUGAACAUUAAUUUAAGCACAGAACAUUUUGAAAAUAUUUUCCUAAGGCAAUUAAUGCACUUUUUGCAAAUAAAAUAAGUACCAAAUAAACUCUAAAACUCUAACUAAUAACAAAUGAAAUUUCCAACUCUUUUACAAUUUGAGGAUGUCAUCUUAUCCCCUCUCAUUCGUUUUUCUUGAGUGGAAAAUAUUAUUUGAAUCUUUGAAGGAGUCAUAUUAUGAUAUGCAUAUGUUUUAAAAUAUUUUUAAAAUGCUUCUAUUGGUUUCAUUAUCCAUUUCCAUUUUUCCUUGUUGAUAUUUGAAGGAGUCAUAUUUCCCACUCUCUUUGUUUCAUGGAAAUGAUUUUGAAACUCAAAAUGGAAAAGUUUUCAAAAGUGAACCAAAUGAAAUUCAAAAGUGUUGCUCAUCACUUCCCACUCUAUUUCAUAUAUUUUGAAGAAGUCCUAUUAUCUUCUCUCAUAAAAAUCCUUGAGUGGUAUAAAGUUUCUUAGUUGGACUAUUUUUCAAAUGGAAUUCAAUUUUUUUUCAAAACCCAUUUUCAUUUCUUUAGAUGGAAGAAGUCAUAUUAUCUUCAUUCUAGGGUUUUGUGAUGAAUUUGAAUUCACGGAGAUCAAAAUGCAAGAUGAAUCUUUUGGGGAAGUCCUUUUAUUCCCUCUCAUUGAACUUUCAGAAAGUUUCAAUUUCCACUCAAUCACAAUUAAUCACACAACAAUCAAACAAACAAUCAUAAUUAAUUAUUUAAUUUAGCAUUCCAAAAUUUAGAAUUUUGGGAUGUUACAAAUACUUUCUCAAGAAAGAAAAGAAACAGGGGGGAAAUAUGGCAUGGAGUCUGUUUCUUAUACUUCAUGAUCUAAUACCGAUGGACUCGCUCUCCUUUGUCAAAAAGUAUAACAAAAUUUAUAUGUGAUGUACUUGAGCCAGAUAUAACUUGAUGCAAACAGAUCUAACUUGAAGCAAACAGAGAAAAGCAAACUCUAGCAUCAGGUCACAUAGAUAUCUCACAUCGAGUACUAGCACUGGAAACUCACAACUAAAAAUUUAUACGUACAUACCAUAUAUACACUGCAGAGAAAGGUUGACAGAAACUCUUUGCAUAUAUACUACAGAUCAAUAUAUGUACAGAUCAAAACUAAAAAUUUAUAUGUACAGAUUAUAUAUACAACUAAAAAUUUAGAUUUAGUAUGAUUGUUCACUACCAAAGUGUAUCUAUUUCUCUAACAAAAACACUACAAUUACUUUCUUGCUGAUUGCCCAACAGUAUGGUUCAGUUUCUUCCUGUUAUUUGCCCUUUAUUCAAAUUAGUAUGUAGACAAAGCAUUCAUUCACAAGAAAAACAUGUUUGUUCCAAGCUAACCAGGAAUAGGAGCUUAUGUAUAUUGUCAGUUCGGAGAUGAGAAAUUGAUUUCUAGCUAAUCAGGAAUAGGAGCUUAAGAACAAGACCAAGCAAGCAAGAACAUUAUGAACCAGAUCAAAAUACCUCUUCUAGGUAGGCAACUCAUCCAUUUCGCUCCGAAGCCACAUGGUCGCACUCUCUUUUUGAAGUUCGAGGAACAUGUGAGAUAACAAAGAUCUCGCUAUUACAUUAUAACAAAGAGCAUCAUAAAUGUUUGUUCUAAGCUAAUCAGGAAUAAGAGCUUAAGUAUAUUUUUAGUUCAGACAUGUGCAUGCAUAUGCUCAGUUAGCAAGCUCAUAAACAUACUACAACUAGUCAUCUCAGAUGAGAAAUUGAUUUCCAGCUCUUGUCUGCAUGUAUUUUACUCAUCUUAGCAAAUCACACCAGUAACAGUUAACUUUGACCAGUUUUGAAUUUCAUCAACAUCUAACACAAG